UACGGAGGGGGCGAGCGUUGUCCGAAGUUACUGGGCGUAAAGCGCGUGUAGGCGGGUUGCCAAGUCCGCUGUGAAAGCCCGAGGCUCAACCUCGGAGGGUCGGUGGAUACUGGCAGUCUUGAAGGUGCUAGGGGGAGAUGGAAUUACCGGUGUAGCGGUCAAAUGCGUAGAGAUCGGUAGGAACACCAGUGGCGAAGGCGGUCUCCUGGGGCAUUCUUGACGCUGAGACGCGAAAGCUGGGGGAGCGAACGGG
rnacentral:rRNA from 1 species